AGAGUUUGAUUAUGGCUCAGGAUGAACGCUGGCGGCGUGCUUAACACAUGCAAGUCGAACGGUAAGGUCCCCUUCGGGGGACACACGAGUGGCGAACGGGUGAGUAACACGUGGGCAACCUGCCCCUCACAUCGGGAUAACCACCGGAAACGGUGGCUAAUACCGGAUACUCCGGCGAGAUCGCAUGGUCUUGCCGGGAAAGCUCCGGCGGUGAGGGAUGGGCCCGCGGCCCAUUAGCUUGUUGGUGGGGUAAUGGCCUACCAAGGCGACGAUGGGUAGCCGAGCUGAGAGGCUGAUCGGCCACACUGGGACUGAGACACGGCCCAGACUCCUACGGGAGGCAGCAGUGGGGAAUCUUGCGCAAUGGGCGAAAGCCUGACGCAGCAACGCCGCGUGCGGGAUGAAGGCCUUCGGGUUGUAAACCGCUUUCAGCAGGGAUGAAACUAACAGUACCUGCAGAAGAAGCCCCGGCUAACUACGUGCCAGCAGCCGCGGUAAUACGUAGGGGGCGAGCGUUAUCCGGAUUCAUUGGGCGUAAAGCGCGCGUAGGCGGCUUGCUAAGUCAGAUGUGAAAACCGGGGGCUCAACCCGCGGCCUGCAUCUGAAACUGGCAGGCUUGAGUCUGGUAGAGGAAAGUGGAAUUCCUGGUGUAGCGGUGAUAUGCGCAGAUAUCAGGAGGAACACCAGUGGCGAAGGCGGCUUUCUGGGCCACGACUGACGCUGAGGCGCGAAAGCUAGGGGAGCAAACAGGAUUAGAUACCCUGGUAGUC
rnacentral:rRNA from 1 species